UACGUAGGGUGCGAGCGUUUGUCCGGAAUUAUUGGGCGUAAAGAGCUCGUAGGCGGUGUGUCGCGUCGGCCGUGGAAAACCUGGGGCUCAACCCCGGGCCUGCAGCCGAUACGGGCGAGCUAGAAUUCGGUAGGGGAGACUGGAAUUCCUGGUGUAGCGGUGAAAUGCGCAGAUAUCAGGAGGAACACCGGUGGCGAAGGCGGGUCUCUGGGCCGAUAUUGACGCUGAGGAGCGAAAGCGUGGGGAGCGAACAGG
rnacentral:rRNA from 1 species